AGCAUGUGGUUUAAUUCGAAGCAACGCGAAGAACCUUACCAGGUCUUGACAUCCCGAUGCUAUUUCUAGAGAUAGAAAGUUACUUCGGUACAUCGGUGACAGGUGGUGCAUGGUUGUCGUCAGCUCGUGUCGUGAGAUGUUGGGUUAAGUCCCGCAACGAGCGCAACCCCUAUUGUUAGUUGCCAUCAUUCAGUUGGGCACUCUAGCGAGACUGCCGGUAAUAAACCGGAGGAAGUGGGAUGACGUCAAAUCAUCAUGCCCCUUAUGACCUGGGCUACACACGUGCUACAAUGGUUGGUACAACGAGUUGCGAGUCGGUGACGGCGAGCUAAUCUCUUAAAGCCAAUCUCAGUUCGGAUUGUAGGCUGCAACUCGCCUACAUGAAGUCGGAAUCGCUAGUAAUCGCGGAUCAGCACGCCGCGGUGAAUACGUUCCCGGGCCUU
rnacentral:rRNA from 1 species